UUUGAUCAUGGCUCAGAUUGAACGCUGGCGGAAUGCUUUACACAUGCAAGUCGAACGGUAGAGGGGGCAACCCCUCGAGAGUGGCGAACGGGUGAGUAAUAUAUCGGAACGUGCCCAGUCGUGGGGGAUAACGUAGCGAAAGUUACGCUAAUACCGCAUACGAUCUACGGAUGAAAGCGGGGGACUCGCAAGAGCCUCGCGCGAUUGGAGCGGCCGAUAUCAGAUUAGGUAGUUGGUGGGGUAAAGGCUCACCAAGCCAACGAUCUGUAGCUGGUCUGAGAGGACGACCAGCCACACUGGAACUGAGACACGGUCCAGACUCCUACGGGAGGCAGCAGUGGGGAAUUUUGGACAAUGGACGCAAGUCUGAUCCAGCCAUUCCGCGUGCAGGAUGAAGGCCCUCGGGUUGUAAACUGCUUUUGUACGGAACGAAAAGGUUUCUAUUAAUACUAGGAGCUCAUGACGGUACCGUAAGAAUAAGCACCGGCUAACUACGUG
rnacentral:rRNA from 1 species